CGCUGACCAGGUACAACGGAGCUGCACUUCAAGACCAACUCGAAAAGAAAAAACUAAAUAAAGUGGAACGAUGCUGUGAUGGAUAUUCUCUGCCCUGUACAAUGCUGCCAACUGGGUAGUUUCUUGCUGUGGCUCUUCGGGGACGGAGAUAACAUCAUCAGAGAAAUCAGAGAAAACAUUCAAGUGUAAAGGGCAGAAUGUGUGGACAGUCUGUAAUGAUGCAACACCAUCCAGUCCCAAACCUCCAUAAGUCCUCCCUGCAGCGUGGACAGACAAGACAGACAGCUGAUCUGCUCACAGCGUGUUAACAUCUGCUUUGCCUCAACUCUGUGCUGCUCUGUACUUGUUCUAAUGAUGACUUGUCUGAAAACUCCUCUUUGGGAAGCCGGAUGAUGUCUGACAGCUGACGAGUGCAGCAGUGGCUCUACUCUAUCCGACAUUCACUGUAAUGUUUUCAGCACAUCCUGCUGAUCCAGUGACUUAAAUAAAGGACUGAUGAGCA